CGCCAACCUGUCUACAAAAGACUGCAAAACCAGACAUGAUGGUAUAUGAGUGUUUGUUUUAAAAUCUCAGCGGCAGCGUAGGUAGGCUCUUAUGACUCAGUGAGGUAAAUAGUCUACCGGUCAUAAGUUCAAGGUUUUCACACGGCUGUAUAGGGUAAAACCGGGAUAGAUGCCGCGCUAGGAUAGAUGCCUCGUUUCUAAAAACUCAACUACGGGAGAACGAAACAGCAAAUUCGUUGUUUAAAUACGUGCUACAUGCACCCCCCACCUCCGUGACGUGCAAGUUGUUGUGCUAGACGGACAUUUCUCGCUUGUGUGUCGCAGUAUAUUCUCGGCGGACGCGACGAAGGCUUCAAAUUUUCAAACACCUGAACGUAACACCACCCAAUAUGCCAUCAACUUCAUUUAACCGAAACUCACCAAGCCUUUUGAUCGAUCCUAAGAUUUUAGAAGAUAUUCUUAUUGAUAUUGUUGAUAUAGGUGAUGAUUCACUAAUAAGGAUUCUAGAUUACAAAGAAAAAGAAACACCUUCUAAAUUUUUAGCCGAAGCAUCACCAAUACCAAAUAUUCCUCUGACUUUAGCAAGAAGAGCUAAACAAUCGGCAGAUAUUCUCAAUUCUAGAGAAAAAAUAAAAGAAAAAAGGGAUAUAGUUGAAAGGAAAAAGAAACAAAUAGAAUCUAAGAUAAACAAGACUGAAGCUACCAAAAAAAGACGAACAAUGAAAAAAUAUUAAAUAAUAAGAUUAAACGAAAUGAUCAAUUUUAUUUUGUAAGAGAUGAAUACUUUUUUUACUUUUUUUAAUGUUAAAUAAUUAUUUCUACGUUGAAACGGGAAUGUUUCGUUUGAGAUGAUAAUUUUAAUAUGUUAUCGCUUAAACAGUUUUUUUUUGUAUUUUUUGUUAAAGACAUGCAUAAAUAUAAUUAUGGUUAAGCAUUUUAUAUGAAGAUAAUAAAUAAAUAUUACAUUGUGAUUACGUA